rnacentral:lncRNA from 1 species
AUUUUAGAAGAUUUAAUUGAUUUAGAAGAGGAGGUCAGAUGAACCAGCUUAUCAUGAUCCUCCCACUGGCUUCACCAAGUCAGCUUAAGGGAGACCAUUAAAAGGGCUGGUCUAGGAGCACCUAAAUCAGUCACACUGAUUUACCUAGCUGACAUGGGUCAGCUCGAAUAGUCAAGUGAUUCGAUCAAAAUAUAAUUUCACCA